AGAACGGAGCAGACGAUGUGAAGAAGCACCGAUGGUUCAAGACAGUUGACUGGGAGGCAGUUCCUCUGAGGAAACUCAAGCCUCCCAUAGUCCCUAAAGUGUCCCAUGAGGGGGACACAUCCAACUUUGAUGUUUAUCCGGAAGACGAAUGGAAGAAAGACCCUCCUGUGCCUCAGAAGGACUUAGAGAUCUUUAAGAACUUCUGAUCCCUGAGCCCGCUUAUUUAUUGACGAAAUAUCCUGAGAAUCGACACGCAUAUUUUAAAGUCCCUGUCGCAGGUACUAUCAUGGACAAAACCCUUAUUUAUCAGAGCCGGGAGUCUCAUUCGAUCCGCGAGAAUGACGACAAAGUCCUAAUGAUCGAUGCUGUGACACGUAUCACACCGCCGAGAUGAUUUUCUUUUUUUUUUUUUUUUUUUAAAUAUUUUUAUUUCAAGUCAAACCUUUGAGUUUUGUAUCACGUUUUUUUCUCUGAGCCUGCUCAUAUGCAAAAACAAGUGGUUCGGUUGAAACCAAAAGACUGUUACUUUAUUUAAAAAAAAAAAAAGAAAAGAAAAGAAAGAGUAAAUAAUCAGGUCUUUUUUUAUAUUCUCAUGUUUUAUAUUUUAUCUCUUUUUAAAAAAAAAAUGUUCAUGCAAGAUGUAUUUAAUGUGACUCCAGACUGGUGCUGUAUAACGGGUCAGCCGGCCAGUAACGCAGACUUCUUCUACUGUACGUAAUCAUGAGUCAGCCACUUUAUUUAAAGGAGCGUAGCACUUGGAAAAAAGGUGCCUUACAUCACAGUUAAAUGGGCGUGAUGUGUCGCCGUUACAGAAAAGGUCACUUGAAAUAACGCCGAGUCAGCCGAAAUGGACUCUAAAGGACACGUGAGGUGUGAAUGUGCUGCCACGUGUGAACUUUUCUUCUUCUCCCAGCUCUGUUAUUUCCCUUCGGAGCCAAAAAAGACCCUCCCCC